GGGCUGGCAUCCUUCGGGGUUACAGCCUUGCUGAAUUAUUCACCCGUGUCUUUUGCGUACUUCUUGUUUCCUUGGUGGGUUCGCCCACCAUAGGACAAACCAUAAACCUUUUGUAAUUGCAAUCAGCGUCAGUAAAAAAAUUAAUAAUUACAACUUUUAACAACGGAUCUCUUGGUUCUGGCAUCGAUGAAGAACGCAGCGAAAUGCGAUAAGUAGUGUGAAUUGCAGAAUUCAGUGAAUCAUCGAAUCUUUGAACGCACAUUGCGCCCUUUGGUAUUCCAAAGGGCAUGCCUGUUCGAGCGUCAUUUGUACCCUCAAGCUUUGCUUGGUGUUGGGCGUCUUGUCUCCAGUUCGCUGGAGACUCGCCUUAAAGUAAUUGGCAGCCGGCCUACUGGUUUCGGAGCGCAGCACAAGUCGCGCUCUCUUCCAGCCAAGGUCAGCAUCCACAAAGCCUUUUUUCAACUUUUGACCUCGGAUCAGGUAGGGAUACCCGCUGAACUUAAGCAUAUCAAUAAGCGGAGGAA
rnacentral:rRNA from 2 species